CAGAGGGGGCAAGCGUUGCUCGGAAUCACUGGGCGUAAAGGGCGCGUAGGCGGGGUGGCAAGUCGGUCGUGAAAUCCCUGGGCUCAACUCGAGGGGGGUCGGCCGAUACUGCCAUUCUUGAGGGAUGCAGAGGAGACUGGAAUUCCCGGUGUAGCGGUGAAAUGUGUAGAGAUCGGGAGGAACACCGGUGGCGAAGGCGGGUCUCUGGGCAUUCCCUGACGCUGAGGCGCGAAAGCGUGGGGAGCAAACGGGAUUAGACUACCCCGGUAGUCCACGCGGUAAACGAUGACGACUAGGUGUGGGGGGGGUUAAGUCCCUUCCGUGCCGCAGCUAACGCAUUAAGUCGUCCGCCUGGGGAGUACGGCCGCAAGGUUG
rnacentral:rRNA from 1 species